rnacentral:tRNA from 1 species
UGGAGGUGGUGGGGCUUGCCGGCGCCACCACCCCGGAGGUGGGGCCGGCGGUGGCCGUCACCGCCGCCGACCGUGCAGCCUCCGCCGCCGUCGC